rfam:Mesorhizobium metallidurans STM 2683, WGS project CATM01000000 data, contig: ANX_1634_Contig_164
AAAGUCCAUCGCAAUGAAGGAGUAGCGAUCCACAUUGACCCGAGUCAUGCGCGGUCGGCCGUGAGGCCGUUCGUGCAGCAUUGACAGGCGAGCGUGUAGGCCAGCCAUUGAACCACGAAAUUGACGCUUCUCGGGUGCCGACGCUCAUCUUGUGUGCGCAAGGCAACAUGAACCGGCGCGACAGCGCGAGGGCCGGUUCAACCCGACGUCUCCUUGGU